AUUUGACUUGAUGUUUUAGCUUAGAAGUCGUUUCGAAGCUGAUUUGAUUUAGCGUCUGGAUUCCGAAGUCACUAAGAAGCUGGUUUGAUUUAGUGCUUGAAUUAAAGAAGUUGCUUGGAUACUGAAUUGACUUGCUGUUUAGAUUCUGACGUCAUUUGGAAGCUGAUUUGAUAAAGUGUUUGGAUUUUUUAGGUCAUUUGGAAGCUGAUUUGAUAAAGUGUUUGGAUUUUUUAGGUCAUUUGGAAGCUGAUUUGAUAAAGUGUUUGGAUUUUUUAGGUAAUUUGGAAGCUGAUUUGAUAAAGUGUUUGGAUUUUUUAGGUCAUUUGGAAGCUGAUUUGAUAAAGUGUUUGGAUUUUUUAGGUAAUUUGGAUGCUGAUUUGAUAAAGUGUUUGGAUUUUUUAGGUCAUUUGGAAGCUGAUUUGAUAAAGUGUUUGGAUUUUUUAGGUCAUUUGGAAGCUGAUUUGAUAAAGUGUUUGGAUUUUUUAGGUCAUUUGGAAGCUGAUUUGAUAAAGUGUUUGGAUUUUUUAGGUCAUUUGGAAGCUGAUUUGAUAAAGUGUUUGGAUUUUUUAGGUCAUUUGGAAGCUGAUUUGAUAAAGUGUUUGGAUUUUUUAGGUAAUUUGGAAGCUGAUUUGAUAAAGUGUUUGGAUUUUUUAGGUCAUUUGGAAGCUGAUUUGAUAAAGUGUUUGGAUUUUUUAGGUCAUUUGGAAGCUGAUUUGAUAAAGUGUUUGGAUUUUUUAGGUCAUUUGGAAGCUGAUUUGAUAAAGUGUUUGGAUUUUUUAGGUCAUUUGGAAGCUGAUUUGAUUUAACGUCUGGAUUCUGAAGUCGCUAAGAAGCUGGUUUGAUUUAGUGCUUGAAUUAAAGAAGUUGCUUGGAUACUGAUUUGACUUGCUGUUUGGAUUCUGAAGUCAUUGGGAAGCUUAUUUGAUGUAGUGUUUGGAUUCCGGUCAUAUAGAAGCUGAUUUGAUUUAGUGCUUGGAUACUGAAGUCAUUAGAGGCUGAAUUGAUGAAGCGGUUGGAAUUUGAAGUCAUUGGGAAGCUUAUUUGAUGUAGUGUUUGGAUUCAGGUCAUUUAGAAGCUGAUUUGAUUUAGUGCUUGGAUACUGCAGUCAUUAGAGGGUGAUUUGAUGAAGUGAUUGGAAUUUUUAAGUCAUUUGGAAGCUGAUUCGAUUUAGCUUUUGGAUUCUGGUUAUUUAGAAGCUGAUUUGAUAUGGUGUUUGGAUUCCGAAGUCAUUUAGAAGCUGAUUUGAUAUGGUGUUUGGAUUCCGAAGUCAUUUAGAAGCUGAUUUGAUUUAGUGCUUGGAUUCCGAAGUCAUUUGGAAGCUGAUUUGAUUUAGUGCUUGGAUUCCGAAGUCAUUUAGAAGCUGAUUUGAUUUAGUGCUUGGAUUCCGAAGUCAUUUAGAAGCUGAUUUGAUUUAGUGCUUGGAUUCCGAAGUCAUUCAGAAGCUGAUUUGAUUUGAUGUUUUGGUUCAGAAGUCUUUUGGAAGCUUAUAUAAGUCUCUGGAUUCCACAGUCAUUUGGAAGCUGAUUUGACUCGGUGAAAUGGAGAAUGGCAAGAAGAGAUACAUAAUACAUGGUUGUUAUUAUUUAUUUUCUAUACAUUAUUCAGGUGCUCAUUUGGUUCUCCGUAGCUAUGCAUAACGUGUUCAGCCAGUGCUAACUUGGGUUCUCAUUUGACACAGUGCCAAGUGCAUAUUCAGGUUCUAAUUUGAUUCAUGAGUCUGCUGGUUGUUCAGUGUUACAUUCGGUUCAAGGGCCAGUAAGUUAGGUUCUAAUUUGAUUCUUGUGUUUGGGUCACUAAGUUUUCUAUAUUUCUCGAGGUUGAGCACUAAUAUAGAUUCUAAUUUGAUGCUUGUGUUGCUGGUUGUUCAGUGUUACAUUCGAUUCAAGGGCCAGUAAUUUAAGUUCUCAUUUGAUUCUUGUGUUUGGGUCACUAAGUUUUCUAUAUUUCUCGAGGUUGAGCACUAAUAUAGAUUCUAAUUUGAUGCUUGUGUUGCUGGUUAUUCAGUUUUACAUUUGAUUCAAGGGUCAGUAAUUUAAGUUCUCAUUUGAUUCUUGUGUUUGGGUCACUAAGUUUUCUAUAUUUCUCGAGGUUGAGCACUAAUAUAGAUUCUAAUUUGAUGCUUGUGUUGCUGGUUGUUCAGUGUUACAUUCGAUUCAAGGGCCAGUAAGUUAGGCUCUCAUUUGAUUCUUGUGUUUGGGUCACUAAGUUUUCUAUAUUUCUCGAGGUUGAGCACUAAUAUAGAUUCUAAUUUGAUGUUUGUGUUGCUGGUUGUUCAGUGUUACAUUUGAUUCAAGGGCCAGUAAUUUAAGUUCUCAUUUGAUUCUUGUGUUUGGGUCACUAAGUUUUCUAUAUUUCUCAAGGUUGAGCACUAAUAUAGGUUCUAAUUUGAUGCUUGUGUUGGCUGAUAUUAAGGCCUGCCUCUCCGACGGGUCACCUGUACAGCAAGAGCAAGAUUAGUAGGAUAGUUUUUGAUUUGAUACGACCCUCAGUGCUAAUAUAGGUUCUAAUUUGAUUCAUGUGUUCACUGGUAAUUUAGUUUUUCAUUUGAUGUGAUAUUCAGUUUUAAUGUAGUUUCUCAUUUGUUUCGGUGCAAUUUUUAAUAUUUAUCUACUCUGAUUAAUGUGGUCUCUGGUAAUUUAGAUGUUCAUUUGACACGAUAUUCAGUGCUAAUUUAGGCUCUUAUUUGAUACAUGUGUUCACUGGUAAUUUAGUUUUUCAUUUGACGUGAUAUUCAGUAUUAAUAUAAGCACUCAUUUGAUUCUUGUGUUCAUCGGUAAUUUAGUUGUUCAUAUGAUACGAUGUUCAGUGCUAAUUUAGGCUCUUAUUUGAUACAUGUGUUCACUGGUAAUUUAGUCUUUCAUUUGAUGUGAUAUUCAGCUCUCAUUUGAUUCUUGUGUUCACCGGUAACUUAGCUGUUCAUAUGAUGCGAUGUUCAGUGCUAAUAUAGACUCUUAUUUGAUUCAUGUUGCUCAUUUGGUUCACUCUUCAGUAUUAAUUUAGGUUCUAACUUGGUUCAUGCGUUCACCGGCAAUAUAGUUAUCAAUUGGUACGACGUUCAGUAUUAAUAUAGGUUCUUAUUUGAUUGACGUGUUCAUCGGCAACCUAGCUUCUCAGUUGAUGCGACGCUGUGCAAAUAUGGGUUCUAAUUUGAGUCGUGUUCAUCGCUAACCUAGUUUUUCAUUUGAGUCAAGAUUCAGCGCUCAUUUAACUCUAUCGCCAGGGCUGUACGGAGACAAAAAUAAGCGUAAGGGAUUGUAAACCUAACCAAGGCGUUCCUAACCUAUCGUAAAGCAGGUCUGGAUAGGUGUACUGAGGUGAUGUGUUCAAAUAAGCUGUUCAUUUGACUCAAGAUUCACAGCUCACUUAGCCUCAAUGUUACGGAAACAGAGAAAACGGAUAUAAUCGUAAACUAACCAAGGUGUUCGUAACCUAUCGUAAACAGGUCUGGAUAGGUGUACUGAGGUGAUGUGUUCAAAUAAGUUCUUCAUUUGACCCAAGAUUCACAGCUCACUUAGCCUCAGUGUUACGGAGACAGAGAAAACGGAUAUAAUCGUAAACUAACCAAGGUGUUCGUAACCUAUCGUAAACAGGUCUGGAUAGGUGUACUGAGGUGAUGUGUUCAAAUAAGCUGUUCAUUUGACUCAA